GGUUGGGCAACAACUAAUUGAUCACAGCCAGUUACAGAUUUCUUUGUUCCUUCUCCACUCCCACUGCUUCACUUGACUAGCCUUAA
rnacentral:Y_RNA from 1 species